rnacentral:rRNA from 1 species
CGCGUGGGAAUCUACCUAAAGUGGGGAAUAACUGUUGGAAACGGCAGCUAAUACCGCAUAAUCCCUUAGGGGUAAAGACUUCGGUCGCUUUUAGAUGAGCCCGCGUUAGAUUAGGCUGUUGGUAGGGUAAUGGCCUACCAAACCUACAAUCUAUAGCUGGUCUGAGAGGAUGAUCAACCACACUGGGACUGAGACACGGCCCAGACUCCUACGGGAGGCAGCAGUGGGGAAUAUUGCACAAUGGGCGCAAGCCUGAUGCAGCCAUGCCGCGUGUGUGAAGAAGGCCUUCGGGUUGUAAAG